GGGCCCGUAGCUUAGUCUGGUAGAGCGCCUGACUUUUAAUCAGGCGGUCGAGGGUUCGAAUCCCUUCGGGCCCG
rnacentral:ncRNA from 17 species